rnacentral:rRNA from 1 species
AUGGAACAGAAGCUACAUGGGGCUGCUUUGUUCUUGAACCCAAAUAAGUCCUUUGCCAUUAAGGAGUCCAACAAAAGACAAGCUUCCCGUCUCCGUUCAAUGUUCAAUGAUGUGCUAUGGAAGAUGGUGCCCGAUGAUGAGCAACAAGCAACUAUAAGUAAGGAAGCUGACGGCUAUGAGUUGGGGAGUGCAUGUUUCUCGAAGCCAUUGUCAAUUAAAGACCGUGACAAAAAAGCCCUCGUUCUUUGGUGGAAUGCUUAUGGUGGCCUUGCUUUUGACCUCCAAACUCUUGCAAUCAUUAGUCUAUGUUGUUCAGCAUCUGGCUGCGAGCGCAAUUGGAGUGUAUUUGCUCAUAUCCACACCAAAGGGAGAAACCGUCUAGAGUACAAGAGAUUGAACAAGCUAUCAUAUGUCUCGUACAACCGGAAAAUGGAAGCCAGGUUUCAGAAUCUUCGUGAGCAAGGCUCUAAAGCAAAGAAAUCUAGUCCACUUGUCCUAGAAGAAUUCCAAUGGGAUAAUGAAUGGGUUGAUAUCAAUGCUGAACUGGGUGAAACACCACUACUAUGGUCUCAAGUUGAUGAAGCCAUGGGUGCGUCGACUUCUCUAGCAGGCCGCAACUAUCCUAGGAGAGCUCGUGGUGAUCCUGGCGAGUCUAUUGCACGACCCAUAUGCCCUUAUAUCACCUACACUCGAAACAAUGCAAGAACAAGGCUGGUUGUGCAUGAUGAAGAGUUGAGGGCUGAAUUAGAAGCGGCAGACUAUGACAAAGACAUGGAGAGCAGCGAUGAAGAGGAUGUUGAAUCGCCAGAUGAUGAAGACACCGAAUUUCAGCUUGAAAACAUGGAGCUUGAGGCUUGA